rnacentral:rRNA from 1 species
CCUACGGGAGGCAGCAGUAGGGAAUAUUGGACAAUGGGGGAAACCCUGAUCCAGCAAUGCCGCGUGAGCGAUGAAGGCCUUAGGGUUGUAAAGCUCUUUUACCCGGAUACAGUAUCGGGAGAAUAAGCCCGGCUAACUCCGUGCCAGCAGCCGCGGUAAUACGGGGGGGCUAGCGUUGUUCGGAAUUACUGGGCGUAAAGCGCACGUAGGCGGCGAUUUAAGUCAGAGGUGAAAGCCCGGGGCUCAACCCCGGAACUGCCUUUGAGACUGGAUUGCUAGAAUCUUGGAGAGGCGAGUGGAAUUCCGAGUGUAGAGGUGAAAUUCGUAGAUAUUCGGAAGAACACCAGUGGCGAAGGCGGCUCGCUGGACAGAUUGACGCUGAGGUGCGAAAGCGUGGGGAGCAAACAGGAUUAGAUACCCUAGUAGUC